AUACGUAGGGUGCGAGCGUUGUCCGGAAUUACUGGGCGUAAAGAGCUCGUAGGUGGUUUGUCGCGUCGUCUGUGAAAUUCCGGGGCUUAACUCCGGGCGUGCAGGCGAUACGGGCAUAACUUGAGUACUGUAGGGGAGACUGGAAUUCCUGGUGUAGCGGUGAAAUGCGCAGAUAUCAGGAGGAACACCGGUGGCGAAGGCGGUUAUCUGGGCAGUAACUGACGCUGAGGAGCGAAAACAUGGGUAGCGAACAGGAUGAGAUACCCUGGUAGUCCAUGCCGUAAACGGUGGGAGCUAGGUGUAGGGGUCUUCCACGACUUCUGUGCCGUAGCUAACGCAUUAAGCGCCCCGCCUGGGGAGUACGGCCGCAAGGCUAAAACUCAAAUGAAUUGACGGGG
rnacentral:rRNA from 1 species